AGCCUCUCCUGUUCCUGUGGGUGCUUGUCAGGAAUUCCGCUAGUUCUGAACUAUUCCAUGUUAGUAAGUAAAAGUUCACUACUAGCAGAACUCGGCCACGUACCACACUUGCUGCUAAGGGGACG
rnacentral:precursor_RNA from 14 species